rnacentral:rRNA from 1 species
AUGGCGCCCCUACGUCCGCGCCUGGCCGCCCUGCUCGCUCUGUGCGCGUGCGCCAUGGCUCCGCCGGCGGCCGCCGCCAACGUGUCGAUCACGACGUGCCGGUCCUUCUGCGGCAACAUCACGGUGGACUACCCGUUCGCGCUCCACGCCGGGUGCGGCCACGCGGGGUUCCGCGACCUGCUCUACUGCAUCGACCGCACGCUCAUGCUGCACCUCCCCUCGGGCUCCUACCGCGUCCUCGACAUCGACUACGCCUACCGCGGCCUCACCCUGCACGACCCGGCCAUGUCCGACUGCCGCGCCAUCGACCGCUCCCCGGGCGGCCGCGGCAACGGGUUCGUCGUCGAGCCGUGGCGCGCGCCGUUCCUGGCCCCGGACCCGGACAACGUGUUCCUCCUCCUCGGCUGCCGCGCCAGCUCGCCGCUCUUCCAGGGCUUCCCCGACCGCCACCUGCCGUGCCGGAACGUGUCCGGGAUGGGGUGCGGCGACUACUACGGCUGCCCCGCGUGGGACGACUACGGGCGCCGGCCGUCGGGGGCGGCGUACGGGUCGGCCGUGCCGCCCGAGUGCUGCGCGGUCUCGUGGGGCGCCAUCCGGGCCGUGAACGUGAGCCGGCUCCAGUGCGAGGGGUACAGCAGCGCGUACAGCCUCGCGCCGGUGCGCGCGGAGGGGGCCGGCGGCUGGGCGUACGGCAUCCGGGUGGCGUGGGCGCUGCCGGAGGCGAACCGGGGGUUCUGCGGCGCGUGCCGCGCCACGGGCGGGGUGUGCGGCCACGACGUGGAGAGCCGCGGCGACCUGUGCCUCUGCGGUGACUGGAACUCGACUUCCAACUGCGACUCCUCGGCGGACGCCGCGCCGUCAAGCACCGCCACGCCUGGCAUCGCCAUUGCCGCUCUUCUCUUGGCCCUUCUCGCCUCAGGAUGA